rnacentral:rRNA from 1 species
CCUACGGGAGGCAGCAGUAGGGAAUCUUCCACAAUGGGCGAAAGCCUGAUGGAGCAACGCCGCGUGGGUGAAGAAGGUCUUCGGAUCGUAAAACCCUGUUGUUAGAGAAGAAAGUGCGUGAGAGUAACUGUUCACGUUUCGACGGUAUCUAACAAGAAAGCCACGGCUAACUACGUGCCAGCAGCCGCGGUAAUAAGUAGGGGGCAAGCGUUAUCCGAAUUUAUGUGGGGUAAAGGGAACGAAGGCGGUAUUUUAAGUCUGAUGUGAAAGCCUUCGGCUUAACCUGAGUAGUGCAUUUGAAACUGGGAGACUUGAGUGCAGAAGAGGUGAGUGGAACUCCAGGUGUAGCGGUGAAAUGCGUAGAGAUAUGGAAGAACACCGGUGGCGAAAGCGGCUCUCUGGUCUGUAACUGACGCUGAGGUUCGAAAGCGUGGGGAGCAAACAGGAUUAGAUACCCGUGUAGUC